UGACAGUCAUCGCUGUAUCCGGGUUCCUCCUCUGACGAGAUGCUUAUAAGAGAAGCCACUGCCUGCUUUGGCCAGUAACCAGGUCUAGCGACUGUAACAACCACCGGAUACCCGUCACAACCCAGCUCCACGUCAAACGAGAACAAAGCCUUCACACAUCUCACCAUGCGACUCCUAGUCAUCCUGGUGGUGGCUGUUGUAGGCCUGUGUGUCGUGUCUGCUGCAGCUGCUGAUGCUGCCCUAGAGGAGCAGGGAUUGUUGCAUCUGCUGCUGAAGAGACAGGCUGGCUACCCUAGUUACCCACGAGUGCCCCCUCACCACCCACCUCGCCCACCUCCCUGCGUCUGCGUGAGGCAUCCGUGUCCGUGCUCUGGACCCGGGUAUUAGUCGUGAUGCUACCCGCCACCCCUUAGUGUAGAGCUCAAGCAAUGAGAGAGAUGAUCUCGUCACCUCUUGACCCUGUGUGUGACCCCGUGAUUACUCAUAACCACCAGGUCAAACGUGCAAAUGUGUCAUUAUGAGUAUUUCAUUCCUACCAGGAAUAUAACCCAGGUAUAACCGGACUAGACGGCAGUCAGAAAACAAGAUUUUCACAUAACCGAUGAUUUUCCAAUCCGAUGAAAGUGUAUGCAAUAUAUACACAACAUACAUUUCUAUUAUUGAUGAUUUGUAACAGAAAACUGUGUUCAUAUCACUAAUAAAUUUUGCACAAAAUAAAA